rnacentral:rRNA from 1 species
UGGAGGGCAAGUCUGGUGCCAGCAGCCGCGGUAAUUCCAGCUCCAAUAGCGUAUAUUAAAGUUGUUGCAGUUAAAAAGCUCGUAGUUGAAUUUCGGGGUUCAUACGUUGGUCGGGCUUUUUGGUCUGUACUUAUGCAAUGGAUUCCUACCUUCUGAAUAACCGGCAUGUCAUUAAUUUGGUGCGCCGGGGAAGCAGGACUGUUACCUUGAAAAAAUUAGAGUGCUUAAAGCAGGCUAUCGCCUGAAUACAUUAGCAUGGAAUAAUGAAAUAGGACGGCAUGGUUCUAUUUUGUUGGUUUCUAGGAUCACCGUAAUGAUUAAUAGGGAUAGUUGGGGGCAUUAGUAUUCAAUUGUCAGAGGUGAAAUUCUUGGAUUUAUUGAAGACUAACUUCUGCGAAAGCAUUUGCCAAGGAUGUUUUCAUUAAUCAAGAACGAAAGUUAGGGGAUCGAAGACGAUCAGAUACCGUCGUAGUCUUAACCAUAAACUACGCCGACUAGGGAUCGGACGAUGUUAAUUUUUUAAUGACUCGUUCGGCGCCUUACGGGAAAC